AGUAGUUUGAUCAGUGGCUGAGGACGACGCUGGCGGCGUGCUUAACACAUGCAAGUCGAACGGAAAGGCCCAGCUUGCUGGGUACUCGAGUGGCGAACGGGUGAGUAACACGUGGGUGAUCUGCCCUGCACUCUGGGAUAAGCCUGGGAAACUGGGUCUAAUACCGGAUAUGACCAACUGUCGCAUGGUGGUUGGUGGAAAGCUUUUGCGGUGUGGGAUGGGCCCGCGGCCUAUCAGCUUGUUGGUGGGGUAAUGGCCUACCAAGGCGACGACGGGUAGCCGACCUGAGAGGGUGAUCGGCCACACUGGGACUGAGACACGGCCCAGACUCCUACGGGAGGCAGCAGUGGGGAAUAUUGCACAAUGGGCGCAAGCCUGAUGCAGCGACGCCGCGUGAGGGAUGACGGCCUUCGGGUUGUAAACCUCUUUCACCAGGGACGAAGCGUGAGUGACGGUACCUGGAGAAGAAGCACCGGCCAACUACGUG
rnacentral:rRNA from 1 species